rnacentral:tRNA from 1 species
GUUUUUAUAAUUUAAAUUAAAAUGUAAGUUUUGUAAACUUAAUUUAGGAAUACCUUAAAAACA